rnacentral:rRNA from 1 species
GAUGAACGCUAGCGGCAGGCCUAACACAUGCAAGUCGAGGGAUAAGCCUUCGGGCUAAGACCGGCGCACGGGUGCGUAACGCGUAUACAAUCUGCCUUUUAUCCGGGGGAUAGCCCGAAGAAAUUUGGAUUAAUACCCUAUGGUAUACGAGCACGGCAUCGUGCACUUAUUACAGCUACGGCGGUAAACGAUGAGUAUGCGUUCUAUUAGCUAGUUGGAGAGGUAACGGCUCCCCAAGGCGACGAUAGAUAGGGGUUCUGAGAGGGAUGUCCCCCACACUGGUACUGAGAUACGGACCAGACUGCUACGGGAGGCAGCAGUGAGGAAUAUUGGACAAUGGUCGGAAGACUGAUCCAGCCAUGCCGCGUGCAGGAUGACGGCCUUAUGGGUUGUAAACUGCUUUUGUAAGGGAAGAAUAAGGAGUACGUGGACUUUGAUGACGGUACCUUACGAAUAAGCAUCGGCUAACUCCGUG